rnacentral:rRNA from 1 species
GAGUUUGAUCGUGGCUCAGAGCGAACGCUGGCGGCAGGCCUAACACAUGCAAGUCGAGCGCCCCGCAAGGGGAGCGGCAGACGGGAGAGUAACACGUGGGAACGUACCCUUCAGUUCGGAACAACCCAGGGAAACUUGGGCUAAUACCGGAUACGUCCGUAAGGAGAAAGAUUUAUCGCUGAAGGAUCGGCCCGCGUCUGAUUAGCUUGUUGGUGAGGUAACGGCUCACCAAGGCUACGAUCAGUAGCUGGUCUGGGAGGAUGAUCAGCCUCACUGGGACUGAGACACGGCCCAGACUCCUACGGGAGGCAGCAGUGGGGAAUAUUGGACAAUGGGCGCAAGCCUGAUCCAGCCAUGCCGCGUGGAUGAUGAAGGCCCUAGGGUUGUAAAGUCCUUUCGGCGGGGAAGAUAAUGACGGUACCCGCAGAAGAAGCCCCGGCUAACUUCGUGCCAGCAGCCGCAGUAAU